UUAUGUCUUCCCAGGCAUAUCUGCAGAAAGUGGGAUAAGCAGCAGAGCAGCUGAUACUCAAACAGGCACUCUGAAACAGGCUGCCCCACCUGGACACACCACAGCUCAGCACCUCUAAAGCCUUCUCCCUAUGUCACUUGGACUUCCUUGCUCACAAAACGGCACAGUCAUCUCACUCAUUCAAGCCUAAGAUGUAAAUGGAUUGGAGCCACCUUGGCGCACACAGAAAAUGCCGCUCUAUUCAUGGUACACCACGAGCUUCCACUUCUGAUUGCUUUUUUGAGACAACCGUGUUGCACUUGCCCUCUGGAAGCCCCCAGUGCAGUCUGCAAACUGCCAGAACAGAGGUGGAUGGGCUGCUUUUUGCUGGCAGGCUCCCUGCAUGUCCUCUACUUGGGAACUGACAAAGAACAUUCCUGUGGAGUUCCUAUCACGUGGGACAAGGACACCAGGGCUCGCAGUGAGGUGAAGCUUCCUAAUGAGGGCCACACAGCUGACGCUGGGACCUAGGACUGCAUCGCUCUGACGCUCAUGCAGCCAAAGCCUUGGCCAGGGUUCUGAAGUCCAUGUCUGAUGGAGGGCCAGCACAGCGACCCACAUCUCAUGCAAAAACUGACUGAUGCGGUGUCAUCCCGGAGGGCCCACCCACGGUAGGACCUGCAUCUUAUGUGAUAUGAGAGGCCAGUGAGAACGGUAGAGAAUGUGGGUAUAAUGUGAGCUAGAGAUUAAACACGGGGGUAGUGCAUCAUGUACACAUUAAUUCUGACUAGGAUAGAGCCUCAGUAUUGACUAACGAAGUCAUUUAUUCAUUCAAACAACAGAUAGCAGGCAUCUGCUACAGCCGAGUCUGUCUGCAGGGUGCUGGAGAUAUAACAGUAGGGAGGCAGUCCUGGGGCACGGUCCUCCCCGAAAUGAAGAAAACAAGCAAAUGAGCGACUCUUCUAAGUGCAAGGGGAUGCAUGAGGGCUAUGGGGACAUUCCAGAGGGGCACCCAGUCCGGAUUUUUGAGGACGAUGGCAGGGAAGGUGGCGUGGAGAAGGAAAUGCAUAGACCUGAACCGGGGGCUAAGUGCUGGGGACAGACCUGCAGAGGGCCCCAAGUGAAAGCCACUACAGUGGCACAGGGGCUGAGGGUGGAGCAGACUGAAGCUUUCAGCACUUGGGGAAACAGGUAGGAGAUGAGGGCACAGUGGAAGCAGGAGGCAGUGUAGGAAGAAUCUUGUAAGUAUCGCUUACAUGUCUGGAUGCUAACUGGAUGAUUUUAAUUAGGAAACGGCACAAUCAGAUCUGCAGUUUGAGCUUCUGGCUGCAAGGGAGGGAAAAAUGGGGGUAAGGCAAAAGGGGUAUUAGACUGGUCUGUGCAAGAGAGAUCAGGGUUGGGACCAGCUCUGUAGCGUAGAAGGUUAAGCUUCCUCCUGUGGUGCCGGCAUCCCAUAUUGGGCACUGGUUUGAGUCUCAGCUGCUCCACUUUGGAUCCAGCUCCCUGCUAAUGGCUUGGGAAAGCAGCAGAAGAUGGUCCAAGUGCUUGGGUUCCUGCACCUGUGUGGGAAACCCAGGAAAAGCUCUUGGCUUUGGCCUGGCCCAGCUUAGGCUAUAGCAGCUAUUUGGGGAGUGAUUCAGCAGAAGGAAGAUCUCUUUCUCUCUCUCUCCUUCACUCUGCCUUUCAAAUAAAUUUUUAAAAAAGAGAGCGAGCAGGGCCAGGAGUCAGGGCUAAGAAAGGAAAAUGACAGUGCCACCCGUGCCAAGAUCUGUUCAUGGAGUCAGAGGACGUCAUGAGCCCAGGUCCAUUUCUGUGCAUAGCCCAGAUGAAAACUCCGAAAUGCAACUGGACUUGAGGUCUGGGCCGCUGCAGUGUUGAGAUCUGAACCGUCAGGAUGAGGAUGGACACGGUGCCAAGGGAAAGGACACACGAGGGUGUUACGUGUGUGUGGAUAUUGUCAACGAGACCAGACCCUUCCAGAUAGUUCAACUCUGCUGAGUCUACGGCAAGAGAAGGCACAAAGCAGCAGCCAAGGUCAGGGGGAGACGGAAAUCCUGGCACAAAAUCCGAAUGGGAGUGAAGAGCCUCCUCUCAAGCCAGGUGAGGGACGAAAGUCUUAGACACUUGCUGCUACUACUUUCCUCUUGAUUCGGGGUGCCUGUGUAUCAAGUGCUUGCUCUGUGAUCUGAUGGGCAACACAGCGGCAGUGACAAGGAUGACGGGCAGCACAGGGCCAGAGAGGGGCCUGGGCACUAUGGGAAAGAUGACAACAGGUAGGACUCCAUACACGCUCCAUGACUGGGAGGAGGGAGAGACAGCACCAAGUUGUGGACAGAGCAAGGCAUCUGAUAAGGUGGGAGCUGAAUAAGGGAGCAGUGGGUGUGGGAGGGGGGACGAGGAGAUGAUGGCUGUGUGGUGGGUGGCAGAGGACGGGCAGGGUCUGGAGCUGCCAGAGAAGCAUUGUCCCAAAGCGAUGGGGAUGUGGUGAGGACUCACGGAGUCGUGGGCUGCAGGGCUGUGGGCAGUUGGGAGCCAGGCUCUUGGUCCCUGGGGUCCUCGCAGGAGAGGUUCAGGGGCUCCUGGUUGGAGGGAAGGGGCCUGCAGUGAUGGAGGACCUGCUUGCUGGGCUCUGGCAAGUUGACUUCAUCAUCUCCUUUAACAGUAAGAACUCUGUGGAGUACAGCUUCAGCCCCAGCCAUUGUCAGGUGUGGGGACGCAGGCUCAGAGGACAGAGUAACGUUCCCAGAGCUACCAAGCACAGAGCUAAGAUUUGAAUCAGGGUGUCUCUGUUCAAAGACAGGCCUGGUCCAGCAGAUGAACUGGGAAUCAACUUGCAAUCAUGCGGAGCCUGCCUCAUGGAAUUCGCCUAUUGCCUACCCUAGUCUUUUUUUUUUUUUUUUUUAAUAGGUAUUUAUUUGAGAGGUGGAGUCACAGAGAGAGGGAGAGAAAGAGGUCUUCCAUCCACUGGUUCACUGCUCAAAUGGUCUCAGUGACUGGAGCUAGAUGCAUCCAAAGUCAGUAACCAGGAGCUUCUUACACAUCUCCCACAAGGGUGCAGGGGCCCAAGCACUUGGGCCAUCUUCCACUGCUUUCUCAGGCCUUCAGCAGAGAACUGGAUGGGAAGUGGAGCAGCUGGGUCUUGAACUGGUGCCCAUAUGGGAUGCUGGUGCAUCAGACAGAGGCUUAACCUACUACUCUACAGCAUUGGCCCCUACCCCAUUCUCUUGUUGCCUUAUUCUAUACGGUAGUCUCUAGUCUUCAGAAUACCAGUUCUUUAACUGGAAGGCACUGGGCAUUCCUUUGGAUACAGGCAGAGUGUAAGUAAACAAUAACACUGUUGACUGAAUGAAGAAAUGGAUGGGAAGCAGGAGCUAUGGCCUAUCAGGAUUGUCUCGUUGACCCAGGUGGGGCCUCAUCUAGAAGUGGCCAUUGGGCCAACAGGACCAUCAUUUCUGGGUAGGACAAAGACCUUUUUCAGAGACAGAGACAUAAGGAUUCCCCUGUGCCUCCAAUAAGUCACAAGUUGUGACUGCCGCUUUAAAAACUCCAAGUGGUAGGGGCUGGCAUUGUGACACAGCAGGUUAUGUAGCUGCCUAAGAUGCCCCCACCCCAUAUAGGCACUGUUUUGAGUCCUGACUCCUCCAUUUACCAUAUGGCUCCCUGCUAAUAGCCUGGGAAAGCAGCAGAAGAUGGCCCAAGUACUUAGGCCCCUACACCCAUAUGGGAGACCUGGAUGGAGUUCCAGGCUCCUGGCUUCACCGGGCCUAGCCCCAGCCAUUGCAGUGAUUGGGAGAGUGAACCAGGGACUCGAAGAGUUCUCUCUCUUUGUCUCAUCCUCUCUGCCUUUCAAAUAAAAUGCACACAUCUUAACACAAAAACCAAAAAACUCCAAGUAGCUAAUUAGAACCUAAUGGGUGGCAGUCGGCCCCAGACUCUGAGUUUCCCUUACUGGCUGUUAGCACAACAGAUCCUGCCUGUGGAACACAUCUCCUUCAGAAUCCAAAGGCUGGGAGCUGGGAGGGGAGAGGCGGACCUGCUAUGGACCCAGAGCAACAGCAAAGGGGAUCUAAGCAUGUUCCUUACUCAGUAUUAGGAUGUGAAACCAGCAGGUCAUAGUCCAGAAAUGAAACGCGAUGAAGUCUAGGAUUUAAUUGGAGCACAGAUCUAUAGUAUUCCCAUGCUGCCCUGAGAAACAGCUGGCUUGGUGACACGAAUGCAGUUAGGGUCCCAUGUGACUUGGCAGUGCUGAACUGUGCAUCUGGCCAAGUGGAAGGAGACAUGGCAGACCAGUAGCCUCCCAGAAGCCAUACAGAACCAAGCCCAGAGCAGUGCACUCUCAGUGGGAGAUAAUGAAGCCAUCCUGCUUGGGCUUGUGCUUGUUUUGGGGAAGCAGGGGAGAAGGUUAUCUCCAGCAGGGAGGACAAAAAGUGUCACCCACAGUUACCGUAAGGAGACAGGGCACUGCACCGGGGAACCACCUCCCAGUGGGCCCCACCCAGGCUGCAGAUGUCAGAGCCUGGGGCAUUCAUCCUGCUCAUUGGCUUGAGGAUGUACUCUGGUUUUGAAAAUUAAUAUAUUAGGAUAAUGUUUUAGAAGAAGGAGGUAACAAGCCUUCCUGAUGUACCAGAAGGCCAGGUGUGUGCCAGGCACCUGUGCCCACAGAGGCAGGGCUUGUCUUCAGACAGGAUGUGCAGGUCCCACCACCACUGACUGCGCAGGGCUAGAAGUGGGGCGGUGGCACUUGAGCUACAGAUUCACUACCCUUGAUGUUCAAGAGCCAACAACAAUAUUCUCGCUGCUCUGAUUUGACAUGGGUUGUUUUCCUUUGGAAAGGCACCAACGAUGUAAGUUAGCCUCCAGGCAAAUGCUGUCCUCUGAAAAACUUUAUAUGAGAGAAUGUGUGUGUGUUUAUUAAAGUUUUAUACAUAUUAUUUUAAUUGAUAGGCAGAGACCUAAAGGGAGAGCUCCCAUUUCCUGCUUCACUACUCCAAUGCCUGCCACACUCCAGCCUGGGGCCAGGGCAAAACUGGGAGCUCAAUUCAGGUUUUCCGCGUGGGUGGCAGAAACCCAACUGCUUUAUGCAUAACCCUUGCUCUCAGGAUUUGCAUCAGCAGGAAGCUGGAGUCAGGAGCCAGAGCUGGGAUUCAAACUCAAGUACUCUGAUGUGGAACUCGGGCAUCUUAAUUGGCAUGUUCCUUGAGAGGCCAAAGGCCCACAGCAGCAUCCAUGUUUUUAAACUGCUACUCUACUUCCUUUUCUUGACUUGGCUAAGUCUUUACGUUCAUUUUUGAAAAUAGGGUGGGCACUGUGGUCAGCAGGUUAAGCUGCUGCUUUGGACACCUGCAUCCCAUAGUGGAGCACCUGGGACCCAGUCCUGACUCCGCACCCCAUCCAGUUUCCCGUUACUGCACGUCCUGGGAGGCGGCAAAUGAUGGCUUCCAUACUUCAGUCCCUGCCACCCCUGUGGGAGGCCUGGAUGCAGUGCCUGGCUCCUGGCUUUGGCCUGUCCCAGCCUUGGUGGCUAUGGG